GUCAGGUAGGAAAAUGCCCUAGAUCUGGUGUGGUGCUGCCCUUGCCUGGGGCUCAACGCCCUGGCAGGCGCCACAUAAAUGGAUGGAUAGCCCUACCUUAAAAGAAAAAGUUCUCAUUGUGUGGUCCUCCAUUUAUAACACAAAGCAGAGUAGUAUUUUUAUAUUUAAAUGUAAAAACAAAAAUUAUAUAUAUGGGUGUGCAGAUAAAUGUGUGUUUUCUCUUUAGGGAGAAAAAGCCAUUCUGGUUAUGGGGAACCCAGAUUUGAGACAAAUAGUCUGGUUAGAAAUAAGGAUCUCCUUUUGAGUGGGUAUGGGGAUGGGAGAGGCUGUGCUGCAAAAGUUGGCUGUUUGGGGCUGAUAUUCCCUCACUACCACUUCAGGGCUUCUCUCUGCCCUGCUUGCCCUUCUGGGGAGGCUGACAUUGGUUGGUUAACAGGUGGAAGCCCAUGAUAGCAGUAGCCAUCACCUGAGCCCCAGGUUUAAAAGACACACAUGUACUUGUACACACAGGGGUUUGGAAAUAGGAGUUGGCUGGUCAACUUGAGCAUGUUACUGACAAGGGGGUAUUGGGGUUAUUUUCCGGUGGGACUAGCAUGUCACUAAAGCACGC
rnacentral:lncRNA from 1 species